AACGAACGCUGGCGGCAUGCCUAACACAUGCAAGUCGAACGAGAUCUUCGGGUCUAGUGGCGCACGGGUGCGUAACGCGUGGGAAUCUGCCCUUUGGUUCGGAAUAACAGUUGGAAACGACUGCUAAUACCGGAUGAUGACGAAAGUCCAAAGAUUUAUCGCCAGAGGAUGAGCCCGCGUAGGAUUAGCUAGUUGGUGUGGUAAAGGCGCACCAAGGCGACGAUCCUUAGCUGGUAUGAGAGGAUGAUCAGCCACACUGGGACUGAGACACGGCCCAGACUACUACGUGAGGCAGCAGUGGGGAAUAUUGGACAAUGGGCGAAAGCCUGAUCCAGCAAUGCCGCGUGAGUGAUGAAGGCCUUAGGGUUGUAAAGCUCUUUUACCCGGGAUGAUAAUGACAGUACCGGGAGAAUAAGCUCCGUCUAACUCCGUGCCAGCCGCCGCAGUAA
rnacentral:rRNA from 1 species